GACGAACGCUGGCGGCGUGCCUAAUACAUGCAAGUAGAACGCUGAAGAGAGGAGCUUACUCUUCUUGGAUGAGUUGCGAACGGGUGAGUAACGCGUAGGUAACCUGCCUUGUAGCGGUGGAUAACUAUUGGAAACGAUAGCUAAUACCGCAUAACAAUGGAUGACACAUGUCAUUUAUUUGAAAGGGGCAAUUGCUCCACUACAAGAUGGACCUGCGUUGUAUUAGCUAGUAGGUGAGGUAAUGGCUCACCUAGGCGACGAUACAUAGCCGACCUGAGAGGGUGAUCGGCCACACUGGGACUGAGACACGGCCCAGACUCCUACGGGAGGCAGCAGUAGGGAAUCUUCGGCAAUGGGGGCAACCCCGACCGAGCAACGCCGCGUGAGUGAAGAAGGUUUUCGGAUCGUAAAGCUCUGUUGUAAGUCAAGAACGGGUGUGAGAGUGGAAAGUUCACACUGUGACGGUAGCUUACCAGAAAGGGACGGCUAACUACGUG
rnacentral:rRNA from 1 species